rnacentral:rRNA from 1 species
AUUGAACGCUAGCGGGAUGCCUUACACAUGCAAGUCGAACGGAGUGGCGAACGGGUAAGUAAUGUAUCGAAACGAGCACAGUAGCGGGGGAUAAAUAAGAGAAAGAGUAGCUAAUACCGCAUAAUCUUGAAGCGGCCACUAUCGGAGGAGCUAGUUGGUGGGGUAACGGCUCACGAAGGCGACGAUCCGUAGCUGGUUUGAGAGGACGACCAGCCACACUGGGACUGAGACACGGCCCAGACUCCUACGGGAGGCAGCAGUGGGGAAUUUUGGACAAUGGGGGAAACCCUGAGCCAGCCAGCCCGCGUGUGCGAGGAAGGCCUUCGGGUUGUAAAGCACUUUUGUCAGGAAAGCGGUACCUGCAGAAUAAGCACCGGCUAACUACGUGCCAGCAGCCGCGGUAAUAC